rnacentral:rRNA from 1 species
UGGGGAAUAUUGGACAAUGGGCGAAAGCCUGAUCAAGCCAUGCCGCGUGUGUGAAGAAGGUCGUCGGAUUGUAAAGCAUUUUAAGUUGGGAGGUAGGGCAGUAAGUGAAUACCUUGCUGUUUUGACGUUACCGACAGAAUAAGCACCGGCUAACUCUGGGCCAGCAGCCGCGGUAAUACAGAGGGUGCAAGCGUUAAUCGGAAUUACUGGGCGUACGGCGUGCGUAGGUGGUUCGUUAAGUUGAACGUGAAAGCCCCGGGCUCAACCUGGGAACUGCAUCCAGAACUGGCGAGCUAGAGUAGGGCAGAGAGUGGUGGAAUUUCCUGUGUAGCGGUGAAAUGCGUAGAUAUAGGAAGGAACCACAGUCGCGAAGGCGACCACCUGGCCUCAUACUGACACUGAGGUGCGAACGCGUGGUGAGCAAACAGG